CAGCCUGUGAGCGUCUGGACGCGCCAGGAAACAGCCCAGCAGGACCCUCGGCCAUCCUGUGCCGCCUCCUCUCUAGAGACCCCUGUGACUCCAGCCCACCCUCUGCUGCCACACCCAUUCCUCAGGAGACCCAGAGUCCUACUGCCAGUGACUUCGAGAACCAGCGCUCCCACCUCGGUCAAAGGACCCCGAGGCCUGUGUUCUGUCUUCCAUCCCGCACUUUCUGGGGUGUGAAUGUCAAAUUUAUCACCGAGACAGUUGUGGCAGCAUCUGCCAAGUUUAGUGAGUGCUUGUUCUGCUGGGCACAGCCCAAAAGCAGGGCAUUAACUGUCUCCCUAAUGCCCAUAAGGGAGACGCCAGGCAAAGCAUAGACAUUGGAAUCAAGUCCCAGAGCCCAGGUUUCAGCCUGGGGCAGUCCCAUUCCAGACCCCAAGUUCUUAUGCACGAGCUGGGUUUAUGGACAGAAAAGAAAGAAAGAAAAGGCUGAAGCAGAGAUCUGACCUGGGCCUCAGCCCCAGGAGAAGUGAAGCCUGUAAACAGGGGAUUGUCCCCCACAGCUGCUUCCAGACUGAGGAUGCCACUAAAAACAUGAUAACUAACCCUGGAGACACCAAGCCUCACCAAUAAAACUGUGCAUCCUCCUA